GAUGAACGCUGGCGGCGUGCCUAAUACAUGCAAGUCGAGCGAACAGACGAGGAGCUUGCUCCUUUGACGUUAGCGGCGGACGGGUGAGUAACACGUGGGUAACCUACCUAUAAGACUGGGAUAACUUCGGGAAACCGGAGCUAAUACCGGAUAAUAUUUCGAACCGCAUGGUUCGAUAGUGAAAGAUGGCUUUGCUAUCACUUAUAGAUGGACCUGCGCCGUAUUAGCUAGUUGGUAAGGUAGCGGCUUACCAAGGCAACGAUACGUAGCCGACCUGAGAGGGUGAUCGGCCACACUGGAACUGAGACACGGUCCAGACUCCUACGGGAGGCAGCAGUAGGGAAUCUUCCGCAAUGGGCGAAAGCCUGACGGAGCAACGCCGCGUGAGUGAUGAAGGUCUUCGGAUCGUAAAACUCUGUUAUUAGGGAAGAACAAACGUGUAAGUAACUGUGCACGUCUUGACGGUACCUAAUCAGAAAGCCACGGCUAACUACGUGCCAGCAGCCGCGGUAAUACGUAGGUGGCAAGCGUUAUCCGGAAUUAUUGGGCGUAAAGCGCGCGCAGGCGGUUUUUUAAGUCUGAUGUGAAAGCCCACGGCUCAACCGCUGGAGGGUCAUUGGAAACUGGAAAACUUGAGUGCUCAAGAGGAAAGUGGAAUUCCAUGUGUAGCGGUGAAAUGCGCAGAGAUAUGGAGGAACACCAGUGGCGAAAGGCGACUUUCUGGUCUGUAACUGACGCUGAUGUGCGAAAGCGUGGGGAUCAAACAGGAUUAGAUACCCUGGUAGUCCACGCCGUAAACGAUGAGUGCUAAGUGUUACGGGGUUUCCGCCCCUUAGUGCUGCAGCUAACGCAUUAAGCACUCCGCCUGGGGAGUACGACCGCAAGGUUGAAACUCAAAGGAAUUGACGGGGACCCGCACAAGCGGUGGAGCAUGUGGUUUAAUUCGAAGCAACGCGAAGAACCUUACCAAAUCUUGACAUCCUUUGACCCUUCUAGAGAUAGAAGUUUCCCCUUCGGGGGACAAAGUGACAGGUGGUGCAUGGUUGUCGUCAGCUCGUGUCGUGAGAUGUUGGGUUAAGUCCCGCAACGAGCGCAACCCUUAAGCUUAGUUGCCAUCAUUAAGUUGGGCACUCUAAGUUGACUGCCGGUGACAAACCGGAGGAAGGUGGGGAUGACGUCAAAUCAUCAUGCCCCUUAUGAUUUGGGCUACACACGUGCUACAAUGGACAAUACAAAGGGCAGCGAAACCGCGAGGUCAAGUAAAUCCCAUAAAGUUGUUCUCAGUUCGGAUUGUAGUCUGCAACUCGACUACAUGAAGCUGGAAUCGCUAGUAAUCGUAGAUCAGCAUGCUACGGUGAAUACGUUCCCGGGUCU
rnacentral:rRNA from 1 species